rnacentral:rRNA from 1 species
GAUUCCUACGGGAGGCAGCAGUGGGGAAUUUUGGACAAUGGGCGAAAGCCUGAUCCAGCCAUGCCGCGUGUCUGAAGAAGGCCUUCGGGUUGUAAAGGACUUUUGUCGGGGAGGAAAUCCCCAGCGCUAAUACCGCUGGGGGAUGACAGUACCUGAAGAAUAAGCACCGGCUAACUACGUGCCAGCAGCCGCGGUAAUACGUAGGGUGCAAGCGUUAAUCGGAAUUACUGGGCGUAAAGCGUGCGCAGGCGGUUUGAUAAGCCAGAUGUGAAAUCCCCGAGCUCAACUUGGGAACUGCGUUUGGAACUGUCAGACUAGAGUGCGUCAGAGGGGGGUGGAAUUCCGCGUGUAGCAGUGAAAUGCGUAGAGAUGCGGAGGAACACCGAUGGCGAAGGCAGCCCCCUGGGAUGACACUGACGCUCAUGCACGAAAGCGUGGGGAGCAAACAGGAUUAGAUACCCUGGUAGUCCACGCCCUAAACGAUGUCAAUUAGCUGUUGGGGGUUAGAAUCCUUGGUAGCGUAGCUAACGCGUGAAAUUGACCGCCUGGGGAGUACGGCCGCAAGGUUAAAACUCAAAUGAAUUGACGGAA